AUUGAACGCUGGCGGCAUGCUUUACACAUGCAAGUCGAACGGUAACAGGGAGCUUGCUCCGCUGACGAGUGGCGAACGGGUGAGUAAUGCGUCGGAACGUGCCGAGUAGUGGGGGAUAACGCAUCGAAAGGUGUGCUAAUACCGCAUACGUACUGAGGUAGAAAGUGGGGGACCUUCGGGCCUCACGCUAUUCGAGCGGCCGACGUCUGAUUAGCUAGUUGGUGAGGUAAAGGCUCACCAAGGCGACGAUCAGUAGCGGGUCUGAGAGGAUGAUCCGCCACACUGGGACUGAGGCACGGCCCAGACUCCUACGGGAGGCAGCAGUGGGGAAUUUUGGACAAUUGGCGCAAGCCUGAUCCAGCCAUGCCGCGUGUCUGAAGAAGGCCUUCGGGUUGUAAAGGACUUUUGUCCGGGAGCAAAUGCCUGGUGUUAAUAGCACUGGGAGCUGAGAGUACCGGAAGAAUAAGCACCGGCUAACUACGUGCCAGCCGCCGCCGUAACAC
rnacentral:rRNA from 1 species